rnacentral:rRNA from 1 species
UGAACGCUGGCGGCGUGCCUAAUACAUGCAAGUCGAGCGAACAGACGAGGAGCUUGCUCCUCUGACGUUAGCGGCGGACGGGUGAGUAACACGUGGAUAACCUACCUAUAAGACUGGGAUAACUUCGGGAAACCGGAGCUAAUACCGGAUAAUAUAUUGAACCGCAUGGUUCAAUAGUGAAAGACGGUUUUGCUGUCACUUAUAGAUGGAUCCGCGCCGCAUUAGCUAGUUGGUAAGGUAACGGCUUACCAAGGCAACGAUGCGUAGCCGACCUGAGAGGGUGAUCGGCCACACUGGAACUGAGACACGGUCCAGACUCCUACGGGAGGCAGCAGUAGGGAAUCUUCCGCAAUGGGCAAAAGCCUGACGGAGCAACGCCGCGUGAGUGAUGAAGGUCUUCGGAUCGUAAAACUCUGUUAUUAGGGAAGAACAAAUGUGUAAGUAACUAUGCACGUCUUGACGGUACCUAAUCAGAAAGCCACGGCUAACUACGUG